rnacentral:rRNA from 1 species
CGCCGAAUGAGUUUCUGACCUAUCAACUCGAGACGGCGGGGUAGAGGCCCGCCGCGGUAACGACGGUAACGGGGAAUCAGGGUUCGAUUCCGGAGAGGGAGCCCGAGAAACGGCUACCACUUCCAAGGAAGGCAGCAGGCGCGCAACUUACCCUAAUCUCGAUUCGAGGAGGUAGUGACAAGAAAUACCGAUGCGGGGACCCUACGGGUGCCGCGUUCGGAAUGAGUACGAUUCGAACCACCUAACGAGGAACGAUCGGAGGGCAAGUCUGGUGCCAGCAGCCGCGGUAAUUCCAGCUCCAAUAGCGUACGUUAAAGUUGCUGCAGUUAAAAAGCUCGUAGUUGAACGUUCGGGUUCCGCGGGACGGGGCCGCCCCGCGAGGGACGGCGCCGCCCCGGGGCUCGUGAUAUCUCAUCUCGCCGCCCGUCGCGAGGCGGACGGAGGGAUGGAUGAGGUUACCUGGAAAAAAUCGGGGCGAUCUAGGCGGGCGAACCUCGCCAACGAACGAUCGGACAUGGGAUAACGGAAGAGGGCGUCGGCUCGACUUCGUCGGUUCCUCGGGCCGAGGCACGUACGGUGA